GGCGUUCGAGUCCUCGGUAGAACGCAUUAAAAUAUUUUAUGAGCAGAAAGAAUUAAGAUCAUUCCCAAAAUAACACACUCGAGCACAUUCAGGGUCCUGAGUAACACCAGAUGCUUCACCACUGGCAGACGUUCUGAGGCGGACUUUUCUUGCGCUGAUGAAAAAGGUUUCCAGGCGAGACAGAACUACUUUAGUUCCCCGCUUACUGAGGUUUCAAUGAAACAAACCAGCUGUAACAUUCCCAUCAUCUCCUCCCCCCCCCCUUCGCCCGGACUCCUCUGUGAAGGACUCUAAC
ensembl:lncRNA